GGCAGCGAGCGUUGUUCGGAGUUACUGGGCGUAAAGAGUGCGUAGGCGGUUUUAUAAGUUUGGUGUGAAAUCUCCCGGCUUAACUGGGAGGGUGCGCCGAAAACUGGAAGGCUUGAGUAUGGGAGAGGUAAGCGGAAUUCCUGGUGUAGCGGUGAGAUGCGUAGAUAUCAGGAGGAACACCUGCGGUGUAGACGGCUUACUGGACCAUAACUGACGCUGAGGCACGAAAGCGUGGGUAGCAAACAGG
rnacentral:rRNA from 1 species